GUUAGAUGUCGCUGUAGAUUUAGCAGUACAUUACUGUAAAAAUCCACAGUACUAUACUGUAUGUGUACAUUACAGUACAGUACUGCAGUUCAUAAUGCAUUCUGGGUAAAUUUGUUUGAGCGGGAAAAUUUUACAGUAUAUUUUGGUCUUGAUGUAACCUUGCUGUAGCCAUUGCUGUAAUGUGCCAGGUGUACUUGCAAUAAUCAGAGAAAGUGCGCCAACGUCAAAUCACACAGACAGAGCACAACUCCUGGCUGCACCUGAAGGAGGACGAUUGAUUUCUGGCAGUUCGUCUUACCAUUGCUUGUAAGCUGGAUUGGGUAAGAUGGAUCAUCUUUAAAGGCACAGGCAAGUACAUGAAGUACAGUUACAAGUCAUGUAUUUUUUCGACUGCAAUAUUAAAUGCUUUCACGUCACAUGUAAAAGUACACAGGAAUGUGGCUAAUCACUUUUUAUUUGUAGUUUACCUGAGUGUCCUUGCACUUUUCAGGAGUUAAGGCAGAUGUGGAGGCACAACGGGUGAUACCAGACACACACCAAGCACAUUAUGUUCGGACAUUCAAUCAUGACAUGAUCCAUGUGGAUGCUGUCCAUUGAUGAAAGAGUUUGUUCAGCGGUUUCUGGAUAGAAUUAAUUCCAAAGAUGGGAAAAAGUGCACAUCCAGACAAGGAGCAAGCAAAAAGACAAGGAACUUGGUGCAGAGAAAAGCUGUGGCCAUUAACCCCCAUGUGAACAGCUUCAUGCAGUCCCUGAUUGAGUUCGAAUGGACGACUUCAAAGUAAAGGCCACUGUGGUCUGUCUGCCACAGUUUAAUUUUUUAUUUAUUUUUAGUGUUCAAUGAAAUUCAAGUAGAAUAUUUAAAACUAUGGGCCAGUGUUCUUUUUACCACAGUGAAAUGUUACCUUUUAGUCGAUGAUGGACUUUAAACUGAAAACUUCAAACUAUUGACCAGUGUUCUAUUUGCCAGAGUUAAAUAUGUUACAGCAGGGG